AGUCACUGACAUUAGAUACCCGUGUAGUCCCAGCCGUAAACUAUGCUCGCUAGGUGUCAGGCAUGGCGCGACCGUGUCUGGUGCCGCAGGGAAGCCGUGAAGCGAGCCACCUGGGAAGUACGGCCGCAAGGCUGAAACUUAAAGGAAUUGGCGGGGAGCACAACAACGGGUGGAGCCUGCGGUUUAAUUGGACUCAACGCCGGACAACUCACCGGGGACGACAGCAAUAUGUAGGCCAGGCUGAAGACCUUGCCUGAAUCGCUG
rnacentral:rRNA from 1 species